rnacentral:lncRNA from 1 species
UUUAUACUGGAAGCCAGUGCUGGCUUGCAAAGUGCCUGGAGUGCUGGGAGCUGUGCUGCUACUUGCCUUACAGAUCCUGAUAAUAAAUUACCAGAGAAGGUACAGCUAUUGCUAACCAUAACAGCUUCUGGCACUUAAGUGAGUCACACUCACUUUUCAUCUCCAUUUUCUCUGCCUCCUACAAGCAGUAGUGUUUCUGAAGAAAGUAACUUACUACCAUUAUAUUUCACCAAAAUAAGUAAACAGUAUAAAUAAGAUGAAGUCACUGAAAGUAAAUAGAAACAUAUCUGUGUGAAUUUAUUGGGUAAGACAAGGUUCAGAGAUACUGUGAGAACAAGUCUAGAGAGGAGGUGGGAUGGAAGGCUGGAACUUAGGUGGAAAGACAGAGCCAGAACACCUGGAUGGGGGGGGACAGGAGACACUGGUGGCUGAAAGUUAGACUGGGUAAACGAGAGGCCUCUUGUAUGAAAGAACCAUAGUACAUAGGAAGAAAACAAAGAUACUUUUCCAUUAAGGGCUUAGCCUGAAGGUGGCUGCUUUGUGCUAGCUGCUUUCACGCAGCAAAUGAGCAAACCCAUCUAAUGAUACCACACAAGAUGGGAUUAUUCAGUGUUCAUCUUUCUGAAGGAAGAACUAAAUCAAAUGCUGAUCAGUAUUGCUCAGUGAGGGGACCUCUCUGGAGUCUGAAGUCCUUCCUGGAAUAUGGUCCAACCAUCAGUUAUUGGUUACUUCUGGUGUUGAACUAGGCAGAGGAUUUACUCCUAAAUAAGGAGAAUCCAGUCAUCCCAAUUACUGCUGAAAAAAAAAAAAAAAGAUCAGGCUAAUGGAAUAUAGAAAUACAAAGAAGAUACAAAGUUCUUAAAAAAAAAGAAUGAAAAAAUAGCCUUAGUAUGCUAUCUGUAAUAUUUAACUUGGUUUGCUUUUGAAAAAUGUGGAAAUAACCUCAAAGAAAUGCUAUAAUUGAAGCAAAGGUCAUUUAUAGAAAGAUAUGAUGAUUAUGUGCUGCUAUUGCAGGGUUAUUAAAACAAAAUCUGAGACUGUGUUAUUGUACAUGAAGAUGACAUGAUCAAUAUCUAACCAUAUAUAUCUGUUUUAAGACAACGCUUUGUUUUCUUUAAAUGAUCUCAGCAUUAUCAUAUUGCUGGAGAGUCACUGUGGUUUAUAGUACUUAAAAUUUGCAUCACCUGUGAUUGAGAGGAGAAUUUUAUACCACCUCUGGCAAAAUAUACAUUUUAUAAAAGUGUUUUUCUCAUAGAACCUUCCCAUCUGUGAACUGUAUAAUGCAA